GUUUCUUUUCUAUUUUACACCAUCAUAUAUUCCCCACUGUUUUAUACAGAAAUGUGCAUUAAGACACGUCAUCACUAUGCCUUAGUAACACAUUUAUACUCUCAUGGUAUAUCUCUACACUUUUUACCAAGUAACACGCCAAAUCAAGCCUUAAAAAACAUCACUGGUACGGGCUACACAGUCUACUUCAUUCCCACACAGUCCACACUCACUAUACUACUCUCUUUUACCCAUUUUCAUGCUGUCCAGGUUUAAACAGAUAUUUCACCACACUGUUUCCUGUGAGAUAUUCAUACUACC